UGUUGCUGCCAGCUUGUGCUCCCCUGCUUCCCCUGUUCUCUCCCUAGCCUGAUUUGACCCCUUGUGGUCCAUUUCCUUUUGCUUUGCUUGGUGUUUUUGUUUAAAUAAAGCCCCCUUUUGGUUUUCCCCAGGCCUGCCUCCUGACACCAAUAAGUGUGUCAGUUGGAUGUUUGAAGAACAUUUUUGCAUUAAAGGUCAAAGGAUGAAAGUCAUUGGCAGCAAACAACCUUCAUUCUCUAAUCUACAGAAAGUCUCCUUUUGCAGAGAGUGGCACACGCUUAAGCCAUAAAAAUACCAUAUUUAAAUCUGUGGGAAUACUGUUUGCAUAUGUGAUACGUUGCCGCCUGACCUUGAGUGACUUUGCCCGUUGAGCUCUGGCUGACAAUUUGCCGUGCCAAGCCAUCACUUUGGGUUCUCUGGCCCGGCUGCCUGCUGAUAAUGACUGCUGUCCAUUUGUCUGCCCUCUGCAUUAUGUAAACAGCCGAAGAAUAUGGAUCCUUUAACAACUGCAUAGUUUAAUAUAACUCUUCCCGUCUGCAGGAAGGAUGGACUGCGUGCUAAAGAUGUAAAAUUUCCUGUCCUUGUAUCGUUGGGUUUAUAAUUAUCAUCAUCUUUUUAUAUGAUGGUGUUGUCAAUAGUGCCAUCAUAUGCAUUAUUUAUGGGACCGAAUUGGGCCGUCAUGUAUUGGCUGCUGUAUUAAAGAUUAAUAAUUUUAUGCAGUAGAAA